rnacentral:rRNA from 1 species
CACGUAGGGCGCAAGCGUUGUCCGGAAUUAUUGGGCGUAAAGAGCUCGUAGGCGGUCUGUUGCGUCCGCUGUGAAAACUCGGGGCUUAACCCCGAGCCUGCAGUGGAUACGGGCAGACUAGAGGUAGGUAGGGGAGAAUGGAAUUCCCGGUGUAGCGGUGAAAUGCGCAGAUAUCGGGAGGAACACCGGUGGCGAAGGCGACUACCUGGCCUGUUUCUUGACGCUGAGGCGCGAAAGCUAGGGGAGCAAACGGG